ensembl:lncRNA
GUCUGUGAUAAGACCUAGGAUGAACCAUAACAAGUAACAAAUAUUUGUGUAUGGUGUCUAUGUUAGCAUUUACAAGUGUUUGUCUACAGUAAUGUCAGUUACCUUGAACUAAUUUCUAAUCAAUUCACUUGAGUUACAGCACAACCAAAAGCUUUAGUGUGGACAAGCCCGUGGAGAACUUUGUGAGAAACCUAGGUUAGGUUAUUACUAUUAUGCAGAUAAUACACAGUCACUGUAUGUUUCUGCCUCUUCAAACUCUGGGUGGAUGUUAGGUAUCUUGGUAUUUGUGUCAAGACACUCCAUGAUCCCGUGGCUUAGAACCGCUAAGGUUAAUCCUAAAUUAUAUUGGUUGAACCAGAAGGAAAUUGGGAAUAGAGAGCAUUUCCUUGCAAGUUUUUAUGAAGUCACAUAAAGAGAUAGUGUGGGUUGACAUCUAGUCAUAGCUAUUAAUUUGGGUCUGCCUUUAGAAGACAGUAUGUCAGCUGUGGUCAGAAAUUUUUACCACCAUAAAAAUGUCACCCCCAAAUUAUGAUCAUAUCUCUCACUUGAUGAUGCUGUUACAUACCUGCCUUUGUUACACUGAGGUUAGACUAAUGCAAUACGAUCAGCGAUGGUUACCAAAUAGAGUGAUCUUUCACCUGUAGGUACCUUGAGAUUGUGACAGUUUGGUUAUUGGUUGGUUGGGAUCCGGAUAACUGCUGCCGUUUGCACUUCUCUUGCUGCUUGCAUGAGCAUGGACUGAGAUUAAUAUUUGGGUUUUGUCUUUGGGAUGAAUCCCAGAUAUCCUUCAGAGCUGCCCAAGUACCACCCACCUUUCAGGGGUCCAAGAGAAAGUCCCAAGUGCAACAGGCUAACAGUGCUGGAUGGCGUCCCUUUCAACCUGAGACUGACCAGACAAUGAGUCUUUUAAGCCAGUUACUCUGCCACAAAAGGUGUAAAUGACUUCACGUGCAACAGAAGACAAAGAACACUCUAUUUUCACGGGAGCAGGAAAAACCUUACAUUGACCAGCUGUCCAUCAUGGCAGCCCUGCCUAUCUUCCCAGGAAAAUGUUUUCAAGAAAUGUAUGUUAAAAAACUCUGCUGUGUGUAAGGUGAGUGUGAGGUCCAAUAUUUCAUUAAGUUACUGUUUCAUAAGGCUUCUAUUGGAUUCAAGACAAAGGCCAAAACUUUGUAAGGUUCUUAAAAACAGUGUUGAAACAAAUCAAAUACUAACUA